AAUAGUCCAGAAGAACUUAGCUCCCCAGAGGCAGAACGGAAUGUCUAAACACUAUUCUUUGCUAAAUGGAACUGACAUUGACAUGACUGACUCCAGGUUGGGGAAACUGAACAUACCCCUCUCUUUACUUGAGAGCUUCUCCCAGGACACUCAUAGUCCUCCCUCUCAAGUCUUUCUGGGCUUGGGUGUGGGCUUCACCAUACAGAACUACUGAAUCUGUAGCCCACUUUAGCAAAGCCAACUCUGUUUACAGCAUACAGAAGUACCUGCUGGGGUUAAAGCACACAGCAUCCCUGAGUCCUGUGCUCUUCAGGCAGGGAAGACGGUUCUCACUGGUUGUCCUCCACCACACACCCUUCACUGGUAUCAUCUGACAGAUGGCACUGUGAUGGUGUGUCCACUGCCAUGUUUAAAAUCCCUGACGGCGUUCUUGUCUCUGCCUUCUUUGCCUUAGCAGCGGUCAGAGUCCUAAAGUGUUUCCCAAUCUAGCUCCCUGGCUCAUUUUCAAGUUAGUUUGUUCAGCACAUGACAAACAGGUUCAGUGAGAAAUCUCAGAGUGCUUAUCUGUUCUGUAAAUAGAAAUCUUCAUAUAUAUAUAUAGUGGAUGUGACCAUGAUUGCUAGAGAAUCUAAAAUAAGGAACAUUGCUUUUAAGAGAGAGAGAGAGAGAGAGAGAGAGAGAGAGAGAGAGAGAGAGAGAGAGAGAGAGAGAGAGCUGUGAACCACAGGCAUGUGUGUAACUUUAAUCAGUGGUUCUCUGUGGAAGUGAGGCAGACGUUAUGCUAUUGUGACUGGGGAGAUGGCUCAGCAUGAACAGCACUGGCUGUGCCAGCUUAAGGAACCAGGUCUGGAUUUCCAUAACUAAUGGCAAAGCUGGAUGUAGGCAGCAUGAGGCCCUAAAAUCUCAGCACAGCUAGACUAAGGGAGCAGGCAGAGACGGGAGAAUUCCCUGAAGUUCCGGCUCUGGCCUACACAGAGGGGAACAACAGAUCUCAUCUCAAACAAGUCAAGGCAUCAUUGUACUGAAACAACAUCAAGGCAAAGCAUUGGACCACCAGGUGUCUCAGGCUAGCUCAUGCUGAUAAAAGAUGUGGAGGCAAGUAAGGAAGCACGAGAUUGACUCACAGGAACCACAGACCUUUCAUUUUCUGAGCCUGUUCUUCCCAGGAUCUGUUGCUGAUGACAAUACCAGGAGAGCAGAGUUUCAGAAGACCCACGGGGCUUGGCCCACUGCCUGGGAAGAGGCAUAGCCAGCCUGGGAAUUGAUUUGAAUGUAAUGAACCUUCUGUCUCAUCUGGUACUUUCAGAAGAAUUUGCAGAGUCAAUAGAUGUGGAGCUACCUCUCCAGCCUUCUGUCUGCCUGCAGGUGUCUAUGCGUCCCACCAUGAUGACACUGUACUAAACCUCUGAAACGGUAAGUCAGCCUCAAUUAAAUGUUUUCCUUUAUAGGAGUUGCUGUGGUCAUCAUUUCUCUUCACAGCAAGAGGACACUAAGACAGUAGCUCUCAGCUCUGUGGGUCAGACCACACAGCCGGUCAUGGCUGGCUUCAUCUCUUGGGCUGGCAGAAGACUGAGGUUUGCCGAGUCUUUAUCUGGAUGCGAAUGUCUCUCUUCUAGAUCAACCGACUUGGGACUUUAAUCGCAUCUGUGAAAUUCUAUCACAACACCAGCUAGAUGGGUCACUGGUAUUGGUGAUGGUCAACUUGCUUAAGCUGAGAAUGAUGGAUUGUGGUCUCAACAUGAGUGCAAAGGGGAAAAGGAGAAAUCCAGGUGGAAUUCCUUCUUCUUUACCUCCUUAUCACUUGAGAGGAAAAGGCCAUAAGGAUCAUGAUUUAGAAGGAGGGAUUGUGAAGAUGAACAGUGGGAAGUGCCAAACAGCUAAUGCAUCUGGAUGACUGAGAUGCCAGAGACUCGUGGCCAUGUGUGGGAACACCCUGAGCAUCGUUUUCCUGGCUUCCAGGAAGGAAGAUUGUCCUAUUCUUCACACCUUCCUCAGCCACUUCUGGGAGGGAAUUUAGGGAGGGAGGAAGCCUUUAUUGAGGGUGUGAGUUUGGGAAGCUUCUGGAAUCUAGUGAUAACUUCUUAUUUUGGGCAACCCAAACCAUCAAAUCUUGAAGCCACAGAUGGAUGUGGAAAGUCGGGUUGCAUGGGAGCAGAGAGAGACCAGAAGAUGCUAGUCAAGCACUGCGCACUGACAAGAUGUGUGUUCAAAUCUGGAGGGCACAGCACGGAGCUCACAUCUAAAAAUUGUGGGUAAGUGCAUAUCCAUUGUGACUGGGCAGUGGCGAAUCUAAGAAGCGGUGCGACAGAGCUGUCAAACAAAGAAAGAACACAGAAGUCUGGAGAAGAGAAGUGGUGUCAGUGGAUGAGCAGAGAAUGAUGCCAUUGCACCCCUGCCAUUGUGUGUAGACCUUAGGUCAGACUCAGGACCGUGUGCCCAGGAGAUAGCAGAGCCCAGAGCAGGAUGAACACUUCUACACCAAUUAAGAUAAUCAAGACAAUCUCUCACAGACAUGUCCACCGACUAACAAUGAUAAAGGGCCACUGACUCAAUUAAGAUUUUUUCCCAGUUAAUUCUGAACUAUAUCAAGUUGACAACGUUAACUAGGAACAGCGAUGAUGAGAGAAAUGACUAUGGGGGGGGGGGACAGACACUGCAUGUUUGCUAUGCAUGGUGGGAGUCAAAGGGCAAGGAACAGGAAAUGGCUUCUCCAAGGCAGUAAAAUUUAAAAUGAGGCUUAAGGUUACCCGGUGAAGACCGUUUCUGACUAUGAGAACAUAGGCAACAUGGGUGGAAAAGAGUGGGUGUGGAAGGCAGUAGGUUUUGUGGGACAUGGCUAGGAGUUAAGACUUGCUGCCUUUUAGUAUGAAGAUAUGUCACAUCAUACAAAUUAUGGGCUUCUGAUAAUUUUUUUCAUUUGAUAGCUUCACCCAUUUAUAUAAUUAGUUUGAGUCAUCUUGGGCCCCAUUUCCUUCCCUCAUUCCUUUCCUUUUCUUUCUGGAGACCUUGUCACCAAGGUUCCCUCUGGCUUCCAUGCCUUUAUUCUAUGUGUAGUUCACUGAGAGUUGCUUUUCUAAGUGUGGGUUGCAGUGGGGUGCGGGUAUUUACUGGCUCAAUAGCAAGUUGUCUGUGGGUACAUCACUGAGGAAAAUGGCACCUCUCCAAGACAGCCAUCAAUUGACAAUAGUGAAUUUUGUUUUUGAAACAAGUUUUCUGGUUGCUUCAUAGAGGAUGCAUUGUUGCCAUGAUCCACAUAAAGCCUUGAAAAUAUUUGAUGAUGUUAGUGGCUUAGAGCACAGAGAUCAUGGAAGUAUCAAUCUUAGUACAUGCGAAUGUGACAACUUGGUCUAGGUGGUCUGUUCUUUGUAUGCAAUGAUAUCCCACUGUUGGGACCUAUUAAGACAACACUAUUGUCCUGAUCUCUGAAUUGGGCCACUCCCCCCAAGAAGAAAAGGGGGUCAAAAGCGGGCCACCGACGCACCGUUCCGUGCACAACCACAGAAUGUUCCAGCCCUAAGUCCGCGCCAGAUGUCCUGACCACACCCUGAUACCACCAAGUUCCUGCUUCCUCGAGUAACUGCCAAAAGAAAAAUUUCCACUGCCCCACCCCUCCUGCUGAGAAGUACUUCCCCUUUUGCUUGAGCAUUUAAGCCUUGAGCCUUUCUGAAUAAAACGGGACCUUGAUGCCACUC
rnacentral:lncRNA from 1 species